UACGUAGGGUGCGAGCGUUGUCCGGAAUUAUUGGGCGUAAAGAGCUUGUAGGCGGUUUGUCGCGUCUGCUGUGAAAAUCCGGGGCUCAACCCCGGACUUGCAGUGGGUACGGGCAGACUGGAGUGUGGUAGGGGAGACUGGAAUUCCUGGUGUAGCGGUGGAAUGCGCAGAUAUCAGGAGGAACACCGAUGGCGAAGGCAGGUCUCUGGGCCACUACUGACGCUGAGAAGCGAAAGCAUGGGAAGCGAACAGG
rnacentral:rRNA from 1 species